UGGGGAAUUUUGGACAAUGGGCGCAAGCCUGAUCCAGCCAUGCCGCGUGCGGGAAGAAGGCCUUCGGGUUGUAAACCGCUUUUGUCAGGGAAGAAAUCUUCUGAGUUAAUACCUCGGGAGGAUGACGGUACCUGAAGAAUAAGCACCGGCUAACUACGUGCCAGCAGCCGCGGUAAUACGUAGGGUGCAAGCGUUAAUCGGAAUUACUGGGCGUAAAGCGUGCGCAGGCGGUUUUGUAAGACAGAGGUGAAAUCCACGGGCUCAACCUGGGAACUGCCUUUGUGACUGCAAGGCUUGAGUGCGGCAGAGGGGGAUGGAAUUCCGCGUGUAGCAGUGAAAUGCGUAGAUAUGCGGAGGAACACCGAUGGCGAAGGCAAUCCCCUGGGCCUGCACUGACGCUCAUGCACGAAAGCGUGGGGAGCAAAACAGGAUUAGAUACCCUGGUAGUCCACGCCCUAAAACGAUGUCAACUGGUUGUUGGGAAGGUUCCUUCUCAGUAACGUAGCUAACGCGUGAAGUUGACCGCCUGGGGAGUACGGCCGCAAGGUUGAAACUUAAAUGAAUUGACGGGGU
rnacentral:rRNA from 1 species